rnacentral:lncRNA from 1 species
CGAAUUGCAGCUUGACACGGUCACUUUGGUGCAUCUCCACAGUGGUGAACCGCAUUAUGGCCGUUUUUGCUGUCCAAACAGCUGCAUCUUCGGGGUUGGGUUGAUGUUCCAAUCCCAAAUAUGGCCUCCAAAUAAACUGCAAAGAAAAAAGCAAAUAUGUUAUUUAUCGAGAAUGCAUGAUAUUAAUAAAUCAGUUAGAAGCUGAGUGAUUU